UAUGCAGUACUGGGCCAGAAGGCUGGAGCAGGAGGUUGAUGGAGUGAUGAGGAUAUUUGGUGGAGUCCAGCAGCUCAGAGGGAUCUACAAUGAGAAUAGAAACCUGUUUGAAGUCAAGGAGAAUGUGCCCAGGAAAUUAGUGGAGAAGGUUGCGGGGGACAUUGAGAGCCUCUUGGCCAAGAAAGUCCGUGCUUUAAAGAGACUUGCUAACGCGGCAGAGAAGUUCCAGAAGGCUCACCACUGGCAGGACAACAUCAGGG